UGCAGGAAGGUUCAAUGCAGUAGGCUGUGAGAAAGUGAAAAUGGAACUUAUGAGCAGAAGAAGUGCUGUUUGGCAGAACUUUCCGUCAAAAGAAGGCCAUUAAAGUCAAGCUACAUGUUCGAUUUGCAAUGCCGCUGUGUCUCGUGGUGGCGAGGAACCUAAACAACACACAACAUCGCCGCGGUUACAACAUCUGGAAUGAAAGAGCU